ACAGUUAAGUGUCCUCGUCAACCAUUACAAUCAGUACAAUGUGGGUUCUAUGUUAUGAGGAUGAUGAAGGACUUCGUGACAAAUGAGUUUUCAAUGCGAUGGCUAACUAGUAAUUGUGGCGGGAAGAACUAUUACACAAAGGAUGAGAUCAAUGAAGUACGUGAAGAAUGGGCACAAUGCGUCAUGGAUUUGAUGAGUACUACAUAGGUCCACUCACUUUUGUUAACUUAGACUUUUAAUGAGAUAUACUUACAAUGUUAACUUAGACUUUCUUGAAGAUAUACACUUUUGUUGCCUAACUAUAGUUUACAAUGCUUAUGUGAGUCAUUUUGUAAUUAACUUAAGACUCGUUAUUUUAGAUACUUAGUUCAAAUUCUAGUAUUUUAUAUUAUUGUGAUAUAUGUUUUGUUUUGUUCAGUUUGUUUGUAUAAAAAAACAUGAUUUG